rnacentral:rRNA from 1 species
CUCUCUGGCAACGGAUGAUCUCGGCUCUUGCAUCGAUGAAGAACGUAGAGAAAUGCGAUACUUGGUUGUGAAUUGCCAGAAUCCGUGAACCAUCGAGUAUGUGAACGCAAAGUUGCUCCCGAAGCCACUAAGGGCCGACCGAGGGCAAGCUGCCUGGGUGUC